CAGAGGGUGCGAGCGUUAAUCGGAAUUACUGGGCGUAAAGCGCACGUAGUCGGCUUGUCAAGUCGGGUGUGAAAUCCCCGGGCUCAACCUGGGAACUGCAUCCGAAACUGACUUGCUAGAGUAUGGGAGAGGGAGGCGGAAUUUCUGGUGUAGCAGUGAAAUGCGUAGAUAUCAGAAGGAACAUCAGUGGCGAAGGCGCUCCUGGACCAAUACUGACGAUCAGGUGCGAAAGCGUGGGAGCAAACAGGAUU
rnacentral:rRNA from 1 species